rnacentral:ncRNA from 1 species
GGCCAGAGUAGAAGCGUUCAACCCCGUGCAAUGCGUUGCGAUGCGGGGUGGGAAAUUGCUCUUGAG